CUGAACCAGCCAAGUAGCGUGCAGGAUGACGGCCCUAUGGGUUGUAAACUGCUUUUAUAAGGGAAUAAAGUGAGUCUCGUGAGACUUUUUGCAUGUACCUUAUGAAUAAGGACCGGCUAAUUCCGUGCCAGCAGCCGCGGUAAUACGGAAGGUCCGGGCGUUAUCCGGAUUUAUUGGGUUUAAAGGGAGCGUAGGCCGGAGAUUAAGCGUGUUGUGAAAUGUAGACGCUCAACGUCUGCACUGCAGCGCGAACUGGUUUCCUUGAGUACGCACAAAGUGGGCGGAAUUCGUGGUGUAGCGGUGAAAUGCUUAGAUAUCACGAAGAACUCCGAUUGCGAAGGCAGCUCACUGGAGCGCAACUGACGCUGAAGCUCGAAAGUGCGGGUAUCGAACAGGAUUAGAUACCCUGGUAGUCCGCACGGUAAACGAUGGAUGCCCGCUGUUGGUCUGAAUAGGUCAGCGGCCAAGCGAAAGCAUUAAGCAUCCCACCUGGGGAGUACGCCGGCAACGGUGAAACUCAAAGGAAUUGACGGGGGCCCGCACAAGCGGAGGAACAUGUGGUUUAAUUCGAUGAUACGCGAGGAACCUUACCCGGGCUUGAAUUGCAGAGGAAGGAUUUGGAGACAAUGACGCCCUUCGGGGCCUCUGUGAAGGUGCUGCAUGGUUGUCGUCAGCUCGUGCCGUGAGGUGUCGGCUUAAGUGCCAUAACGAGCGCAACCCCUCUCCUUAGUUGCCAUCAGGUCAAGCUGGGCACUCUGGGGACACUGCCACCGUAAGGUGUGAGGAAGGUGGGGAUGACGUCAAAUCAGCACGGCCCUUACGUCCGGGGCUACACACGUGUUACAAUGGCAGGUACAGAGAGACGGUCCUUUGCAAAACGGAUCAAAUCCUUAAAGCCUGUCUCAGUUCGGACUGGGGUCUGCAACCCGACCCCACGAAGCUGGAUUCGCUAGUAAUCGCGCAUCAGCCAUGGCGCGGUGAAUACGUUCCCGGGCCUUGUACACACCGCCCGUCAAGCCAUGAAAGCCGGGGGCGCCUAAAGUCCGUGACCGUAAGGAGCGGCCUAGGGCGAAACUGGUAAUUGGGGCUAAGUCGUAACAAGGUAGCCGUACCGGAAGGUGCGGCUGGAACACCUCCUUU
rnacentral:rRNA from 1 species